rnacentral:rRNA from 1 species
AGAAUCAACGCUGGCGGCGUGCCUAACACAUGCAAGUCGCACGAGAAAGGGGAGCAAUCCCUGAGUACAGUGGCGCACGGGUGAGUAACACGUGAAUCAUCUACCUCCGAGUGGGGGAAUAACUGAGAGAAAUCUUAGCUAAUACCGCAUAAUACCCACGGGUCAAAGCAGCAAUGCGCUUGGAGAGGAGUUCGCGGCAGAUUAGUUAGUUGGCGGGGUAAUGGCCCACCAAGACGAUGAUCUGUACCCGGCCUGAGAGGGCGCACGGACACACUGGAACUGAAACACGGUCCAGACUCCUACGGGAGGCAGCAGUGGGGAAUUUUGCGCAAUGGGGGAAACCCUGACGCAGCAACGCCGCGUGGAGGAUGAAGCCCCUUGGGGUGUAAACUCCUUUCGAUCGGGAAGAUAAUGACGGUACCGAUAUAAGAAGCCCGGCUAACUUCGCGCCAGCAGCCGC